rnacentral:rRNA from 1 species
GAUGAACGCUGGCGGCGUGCCUAAUACAUGCAAGUCGAACGCUGGAAAUCUAGCUUGCUAGAUUGAAGGAGCGGCGAACGGGUGAGUAAUACAUAAGCAACCUACCCACGAAGACUGGGAUAAUCUCUGGAAACGGGGACUAAUACCGGAUAGGUAAUCGGAAGGCAUCUUCUGAUUAUUAAAGGUUAAAAACACUGGUGGAUGGGCUUAUGGCGCAUUAGUUAGUUGGUGAGGUAACGGCCCACCAAGACGAUGAUGCGUAGCCGGCCUGAGAGGGUGAACGGCCACAUUGGGACUGAGACACGGCCCAGACUCCUACGGGAGGCAGCAGUAGGGAAUUUUCGGCAAUGGGGGAAACCCUGACCGAGCAACGCCGCGUGAGUGAUGACGGCCUUCGGGUUGUAAAGCUCUGUUGUAAGGGAAGAACGGUAGAUAGAGAAUAUCUAAAUGACGGUACCUUACCAGAAAGCCACGGCUAACUACGUG